GGGUUGCCAUCUUUGAAAAAAAAAUUUUGAGGAUGAAAUUUUUUUUUAGGGGAGAGAAUGUGAUACCUAGCCAAAAAAAGAGAGCCCAAUUAAAGAUGCAUGAAUUUUAAAGUAGGCCAAAUUGAGAAAAAAAUAAAUAAAGAAAGAAGAUGCCCAGUGGGAGUCUUGUUCUUCCCAAAUUUAUCGAACAAAAUUUGACCUUAA
rnacentral:lncRNA from 1 species